UAAGGGCCUAUUCAGGGUGGAGAGUAUGAGGUGCACCCAGGUGUGGUACCUCACUGUGAGACUACCACUAUUUGGCUACUAUGAAAUAGUAAAGCAAACACUCGUGAACCUGUCUUACUCCUGGUUUUACUGGAGCAUAGGAAGCCUUACCACAGUAGGCAGUACAAAGCAGUCACCAGGAAAACAAAGCAAAAAUCCCUCCAGCUUGAAGGAUUUAGGUCAAACCUAAACAGUCUUUUAAUAUUUAGAAGUUUUGUCCCUGAAUUGGGUUACUGUAAGCAGUUAUAGCCUCCACUUCUCUGGGGCCAUUUGUUAAUAAAAAUAAGAGGGAGAAAGUGUGUAACUUUGUAACUUUUUUAGGUCUCUCACAACAGUGCUUUGCAUAGGCCAGUUUAAUAUUUCCCGCUCAAAUUCCUAACUCUUCAUUAUAAAGCAAGAAGUAGUUAGGGCCCUCCUGUAGCUCUCACUGACAAAAUUUCUGGCCUCAUUAGUUAGUUUAGUCAAAAGAUAUUUUUUCAAUACUUACUAUGUUUCAGACACUGUUUUUGAAGCCCAGGAUAUGAGAGUGAACAAAAUAAAGCCCUUGUACUCAUGGAGUUUAUAUUCUAGGAAGAGGAGACAGACAACCAAUUAAGUAAACAUAAUAUAUUAGGAAAGACAGGUAUAUGAAGAAAAUUUAAGCAGUAAUGUGGGAAGGGGCUGGGGGCAGGCAGAGUAAUGGCCCCAUAGAGGAUUACAUCCUAAUCCCUGGACCUAUAAAUAUGUUUUGUUGCAUGGCAAUGAGGAAGUAAGUUUGCAGAUGGAAUUUAGGCUACUAAUCAGCUGCCCCCAAGAUAAGGAGAUCAUCCGGGUUUAUCCAAAUGGCCUAAUGUAAUCAUAAGGGUCCUUUAAAUGUGGAAGAGGGAGGUAGGAGAGUCAGUGUCAGAAUGACUUGCCAUGAGAAAGACUCAAUUUGCUGUUCUUUGUUUUGAAGAUGGAGGCAGGGGGCCAUGAGCCAAGAAAUGUGAGCAGCCUAGAAGCUGGAAAAGGCAAGGAAACUGAUUCUUUCCUAGAGCCUCAAGAAAGAAACAGAGCCCUGCUGACGUCUGGAUUUUAGCCCAGUGAAACCCACAUCAGACUUCUGACAUCAAGAACUAUAAUAUAAUAAAUUUUUAUUG
rnacentral:lncRNA from 10 species